UAAAAUAAUUAAGGGCACACAAAGGAUGCCUAGGUAGUAAGAGCCGAUGAAGGACGUGGUAAGCUGCGAUAAGCCUAGAUAAGUUGCAAUCGAACGUAAGAGUCUAGGAUUUCCGAAUGGAGCAAUCUAUUAAGAUGGAGUCUUAAUACGAAAGAGGGAACCGCGUGAACUGAAACAUCUAAGUAACGCGAGGAAAAGAAAGUAAAAACGAUACCCAAAGUAGCGGCGAGCGAAAUGGGUCAAGCCUAAACCUUAAAUAUGUCAAGGAUACAGCCGUUGUAUUUAGGGGGUUGAGGGACAGAGUAGUGAAGAACUGUAAGAUAUUCAAUAUAGUGUAUUGAUGAAUUGGAAUUGUCUGGAAAGGCGAACCGUAGAAGGUGAAAGUCCUGUACAAGUAAAUCCUUACACAUAUAACUCUGCUCCCAAGUAACAUGGAACACGAGGAAUUCUGUGUGAAUCUGUGAGGACCAUAUCUCAUAAGGCUAAAUACUCUUACUAACCGAUAGCGCAUAGUACCGUGAGGGAAAGGUGAAAAGAACCCCUGGAGGGGAGUGAAAUAGAACCUGAAAUUGUGUGCUUACAAGCGGUCAGAGCCAGUGAUGGUGAUGGCGUGCCUUUUGGAGAAUGAUCCUGCGAGUUACGUUAAACGGCGAGGUUAAGUAUAACGGAGCCGAAGGGAAACCAAGUCUUAAUAGGGCGAUUUAGUCGUUUGGCGUAGACGCGAAACCUGGUGAUCUAAACCUGUCCAGGAUGAAGCUGUGGUAAGACACAGUGGAGGUCCUAACCCACCGCCGUUGAAAAGUUGGGGGAUGAGGUAGGUUUAGGGGUGAAAAGCCAAUCGAACCAGGAGAUAGCUCGUUCUCUCCGAAAUGCAUCUAGGUGCAGCCUUGAGUGUUCAAUUAUGGGGGUAGAGCACUGAAUGAUCUAGGGGGCGUAUUGCUUACUGAAAUCAAUCAAACUCCGAAUACCAUAAUUUAGAGCUCAGGAGUGAGACUAUGGGAGUUAACUUCCAUUGUCGAAAGGGAAACAACCCAGACCACCAGCUAAGGUCCCUAAUUAUAACUAAGUGGGAAAGGAGGUGGAGAUUCACAAACAACUAGGAGGUUGGCUUAGAAGCAGCCAUACCUUUAAAGAGUGCGUAAUAGCUCACUAGUCGAGAGUCUCUGCGCCGACAAUGUAACGGGGCUAAGUUAUAAACCGAAGCUGUGGAAUCCGUAAGGAUUGGUAGGAGAGCGUUCUGUAGGCCGUUGAAGGAGAAGGGUAACCGACUCUGGAGGUAUCAGAAGUGAGAAUGCAGGAAUAAGUAGCGAGAAAGGGGGCGAGAAUCCCCCUCGCCGGAAGACCAAGGUUUUCAGGGUAAAGCUUGUCUUCCCUGAGUAAGCCGGGACCUAAGCCCAGGCUAUAAUGCGUAGGCGAAUGGAAAACAGAUUAAUAUUUCUGUGCCAGUCAUAUAUUGUGAUGGAGGGACGCAGAAGGGUAUGUGCGCGGACGAACGGAAGUGUCCGUAGAAGUAUGUAGGAUGACUUGAUAGGUAAAUCCAUUGAGUUAUAUCUGAGGUAUGAUAUACAGUCGUAAGAUGAAUGUGCAAAUCCCACGCUGCCAAGAAAAGCUUCUAACGUUAAUAUUUGACUGCCCGUACUGUAAACCGACACAGGUGGUCAGGAUGAGAAAUCUAAGGCGGACAGGCUAACUCUCGUUAAGGAACUCUGCAAAAUAACCUCGUAACUUCGGGAGAAGAGGAGCCCUUGAGGGUCAGUAUCCACGCGAUACAAAGCGCUCGAGGGUCGCAGUGAAGAGGCUCAAGCAACUGUUUAACAAAAACACAGGUCUAUGCUAAGCUGGAAGGCGAUGUAUAUGGGCUGACACCUGCCCAGUGCUGGAAGGUUAAGAGGAGGAGUGAGAGCUCCGAAUUGAAGCCCCAGUGAACGGCGGCCGUAACUAUAACGGUCCUAAGGUAGCGAAAUUCCUUGUCGGGUAAGUUCCGACC
rnacentral:rRNA from 1 species